CUUGUACUCCCUCUGUCCGAAAAUACUUGUCAUUGAAAUGGAUGUAUCUAGAUGUAUUUUAGUUCUAGACACAUCCAUUUUGAUGACAAGUAAUUCCGGACAGAGGGAGUACUUG
rfam:Triticum aestivum genome assembly, contig: Triticum_aestivum_CS42_TGACv1_scaffold_577670_7BL